rnacentral:rRNA from 1 species
UACGUAGGUGGCAAGCGUUAUCCGGAUUUAUUGGGUGUAAAGGGCGUGUAGGCGGGAGCGCAAGUCAGAUGUGAAAACUCAGGGCUCAACCCUGAGCCUGCAUUUGAGACUGUGUUUCUUGAGUGCUGGAGAGGCAAUCGGAAUUCCGUGUGUAGCGGUGAAAUGCGUAGAUAUACGGAGGAACACCAGUGGUGAAGGCGGAUUGCUGGACAGUAACUGACGCUGAGGCGCGAAAGCGUGGGGAGCAAACAGG